rnacentral:rRNA from 1 species
AACGCGAAGAACCUUACCUGGGCUUGACAUGCAUUCGACAGUCUCAGAGAUGGGAUCUUCUAAGCUUCGGUUUAGACGUUUGCACAGGUGCUGCAUGGCUGUCGUCAGCUCGUGUCGUGAGAUGUUGGGUUAAGUCCUUUAACGAGCGCAACCCUUGCUAUCAGUUGCAACUGCCUUUUUAGGUAAGGCACUCUGGUGGGACUGCCUGGGAAACCAGGAGGAAGGUGGGGACGACGUCAAGUCAUCAUGGUCCUUAUGUCCAGGGCUACACACGUGUUACAAUGGCUAAGUACAAAGGGAUGCUACACCGCAAGGUGAUGCUAAUCCUCAAAAUUGUCUAAGUUCAGAUUGAGGUCUGCAACUCGACCUCAUGAAGUUGAAAUCGCUAGUAAUCGCAUAUCAGAACGAUGCGGUGAAUACGUUCCCGGGCCUUGUACACACCGACGCAC